CGGGGGGAGCAAGCGUUGUUCGGAUUUACUGGGCAUAAAGGGCGCGUAGGCGGCCACCGCAAGUCGACUGUGAAAUCUCCGGGCUUAACCCGGAAAGGUCAGCCGAUACUGCGGGGCUAGAGUGCAGAAGGGGCAACUGGAAUUCUCGGUGUAGCGGUGAAAUGCGUAGAUAUCGAGAGGAACACCUGCGGCGAAGGCGGGUUGCUGGGCUGACACUGACGCUGAUGCGCGAAAGCUAGGGGAGCGAACGGGAUUAGAUACCCCGGUAGUCCUAGCCUUAAACGAUGAAUGCUUGGUGUCUGGGGUUUUAUAGUCCCCGGGUGCCGUCGCUAACGCUUUAAGCAUUCCGCCUGGGGAGUACGGUCGCAAGACUG
rnacentral:rRNA from 1 species